GUAUGACGUAAAUAACAUGAGAAUAUGCAUUAAUUAAUCUAAAUAUACAACUUUCUUUAAUGGAUUUAUAAAGAAGAAAAUUAAUUAAACUAAAUUUAAAUAUAUUCAUUUAUAUUCAUUUUAUAUAUUCACUAAAUAAAUUUCAUAAAUUUCACUAAAAAAAUAAACAAUAAAAUCAGUUACCGUGUUAAAAAUUAACGUAAAAGAUAAAAAGUAUAUAAUAAUUAAGACAAAAGAUAACAAUUGUAUCGGUUAUUCAACAAACGUAGAAUUAACAUAAGAACAAUCGUAAGAUGACGUUCCAAAUGCUUAUGUGCGUCUAAGGGUUCAUAUCUUGCGAGUUGAGAGCGGAUGCGCCACCGAUCGGCUGCUUCUACCCCCACCCUCGCACACUGACGAGUUACGCACGAGCACGAGCAUCCUAUGAGGGGUGGUCGUAGAGAUAGAGAGAAAAAGAGAGAGAAUACAGGCCAAGAGAGCCCCCGCUGACUGGUCUCAUCGAUCCCUUUGGACGAUGCGACGACGAUAACGUCGACGGUAGUCUGGACCAGAACGUCGUGCUGAUCUCUUCUCUUUAUCUCUCACUCUCUUUCUUAGCUAACCACAUCUGCUUCUUGUCUCGUCAUACUUCGUGGUAUAAUUUCCUUAUUUCGGUUUUCUUUCCGAAUUCCGCUUACUUUCAUCAUGUACAAAUUUAAUUCUUGAAAUGAAAAGAAAAAAAAAUUAAAAGCAUCGAUAAAUUAUAUUCUCUCUCACUCUCUCUCUCUCUCUCUCUCUCUCUCUCUCUCUCUCUCUCUCUCUCUCUCUCUCUCUCUCUCUCUCUCUCUCUCUCUCUCUCUCUCUCUCUCCCCCUUUCUCUCUUUUAUCACGUGCGUUUACAAAUCGGUAGUACACGCAACCACGUGUAUAAGACUUAGUGAAUCAAUAUACGUUUAUCACGAAUGUGAGCACAUCUUUCAUUUCUUUUACUCUUUGACUCUUUUAGACCUAACGCUCGCAUUUUGUGUGACGUGUACCCAUCCUCUUGCUUUCUGUAUAUAAUUGUAUUAGUGCGCGUAAUGUGUGCUCACACUCGCUGACGUGCGUGAGUAUUUCCAUAGUGUCGACAUCGUCACAAUCAUCGUUCAAAAGGUAGAAGAAGACAUAAGCUUAUGCUCGGUGAUCCAAAUUCAGAGACAUGUGUACGCCGGAGGAGGCGAAGAUCAACCUAAGAGAUAACAGCUCAGUAUAACUUUGAAUUAUUUACUUUGACGAGGAACUUUAACCGAUGAUGUCAUCGAAGCGAAUAUCAUCAUUUCAAGUUUAUCGCGAAAAUAUUUCGAACUAAAUAAUAAAUCGAUUCAACGGGAUUAGAAAUCAAGAGAAAUAUUGUUGCAUUUCAUUUUUUCUUCAAUAAAUAACGUACUAUGUAUCUAAUCACAAAAAAAUAAUAAAGAAAAUAUAUUCUCCCUACCUGCCAUAUGUCGUCCAUCGUAAACAUCGUAUACAUUUAUGACAGCUGCUCAUUUAUGAAUUACUUUUACGUUCGUAUAUCUUAUCAGAGAUUUAUAAUAUACUAUCGGACGUCUGCCUUUACGAAACACAUUUUAAAAUCGACCGUAAAUUUACAAUGUAAAAAGAAAACAUCUGAAAAAUAUCUACUUCGAAUUAAAUAACAUAUGUUAUCUAAUUGAGAUAAGAAAUGAAACGAAUGCUAUUUUUGAAAUAUUUUGAAAUAUUUUUGAUAUAUAUACGAAUGCUAUUGGAAAAAUACGUUAUCUCAAUGGAAUUACACAAUGCCAAAACCAUGCCAAUCAUCUGCAUACAUAUUAUUAUGUCGUUAAAAUCUAAUAACAGUUAGUCAUCCUUAAUCUUUUAUUUAUUAUCUUAACCAUUCCUUCUUGAAUUAUUCUUGUUUUCACCAAAUCUUUUAUCGUAUUAACGUAUAGUUUCAAAACAAUCUAUAGAAUUAGAAACGGAACGCGAUGAGAUCACUGAGUAUUUAGACAAAAACGCCCGAAGACCGUGCAUUAUAUGAUUCCGAUGCAUAUGGUCAAAUGUCUCCAGUUUUGCUUAUCGUUAUGCCACUCUCCUUUGCAAUAGUUUUUUGGCUUUAUUAGCGAAUAACUCAGUUUGCAAUAAACAUUUAUGAGGAAACAUUGAAUUAUAACGCCCUUAAGAAUAAAAUAAACGCUCAAUCUCCCUACAUGAUCUUUUAUAAUUUUAUUUUUCGUUGCCUUAAAACUAUUAAAAACCUCCACGUUGCGAUGCGUCUAAUUUAUAAAUUCUAACAAUCAGUUAAUUUAUGUUACCCACCGAGCACUAUGUACAUUAAAUUAGAAUGAAAUUACAUUCCCGAUUCGAAAUUUCAAAUAUUUUCUUAAUUUUUAUUUAAAUUUAUAACGUGAUAAAUAAACUAUUAAGUAACAGUACAAA